AAGGGUAUAGCUCAGGGGUAGAGUGUGUGCUUAGCAUGCACGAGGUCCUGGGUUCAAUCCCCAGUACCUCCA
rnacentral:tRNA from 1 species